UACGAGGGGGGCGAGCGUUGUUCGGAAUUAUUGGGCGUAAAGGGUGCGUAGGCGGUUUGGUAAGUCUUGUGUGAAAUCUCCAGGCUCAACUUGGAGUCUGCACGAGAAACUGCCGGGCUUGAGUGUGGGAGAGGUCAUCGGAAUACCUGGUGUAGUGGUGAAAUACGUAGAUAUCAGGUGGAACACCGGAGGCGAAGGCGGGUGACUGGCCAAACACUGACACUGAGACCCGAAAGCGUGGGGAUCAAACAGG
rnacentral:rRNA from 1 species